AAGUUCAUUGUAGAUUCUGGAUAUUAGCCCUUUGUCAGAUGAGUAACAAGUAUAUGUGUAUAUUAUUUUCCCAACCUUUAUCCCAUAAAUGAUAGCACACUUUGCUCACUAUUUUCUGUCUUGGUCUUAAUCACCAUAAAAUGUGAUGCUGGCGAUCACACCAUAGUAAUAUGUAGAAAUAGGCCUUUUCCUUUUUACACCUGUAUAGUAUUCAACUAUUUGGAUUUACCAACGUUUCUGCAAUUAGUCCCCAUUUGGAUUGUUUCCAGCCUUUCGCUAUUAAAUAAUGCAGCAAUGGAUAGACUUUGAAUUUUCAUAUUUUGUUACUGUAUCUUUGGGACACAUUUUAGAGUGGAAACACUGGGUUAAAAGGCAAAUGCCUAUGUAAUUUUGCUAGCUCUUGCCAAAUUUUUCUCCACAGGAAUUGUACUAUUUUUCUUCCCCACCAGCAAUUUAUGAGAAAGUUUGUUUCUCCACAGUAUGUGUUUCAGAAUGCAUUGGACAUUUUCCCAUCUGGUGGGUAAGAUGUGAUUAUCUCAGUGAAGCUUUGAUUUGCAUUUCUCUUUCUGUAGGCGCACAUAUUUCUACAAGUGAACUCAGCCAGCAUUGUCUGAAUCAAUGCCUUCCAAUCUUUUCUCCAGCUAAUUCAGAUUCUGUUACUGACACUAGCAAUCAAGAUAUCCUAAACACACACUAGAGACCUCAAUGAGUUUUCUAGUUUAUAUUUCUCUUAUUAUGAGCAAGGUGUUAAGGUUUGUUCCUAUGGUAAAGAGUCACCUGUGUUUCUUCCAUUAUGAUACCUCACUUGAGUCUGUCCAUCACAUGCAAAAACACAUUCUCACCUCAGGGCCUUUGCGCUUGGCCAUCCCUCUGUCUAGAACACUAUUCCCAUCAUUGUGGCAGGGUUCAUCUUUCCACAGCAUUCAUGUCUCUGCUUAAAUGUCCCUCCUCAAAAGGCCUGUCUUAAUCAGCCUAUCUAGGUAGCACUCCUUUCACUAUCUCCUUAGCCUGCAUUAUUUUUCUUCCAAGCACUGACCACUAAUGGACACUGUAUAUUUAUCUGCAUAGUUGUUAUCUCCCUCCCUCCAUGGAAAGCCAGCUCCUUGAGAAGCGGGCUCCUCUACCUUGCCCACAGCUAUAUCUCCAAGUGCCCCCAAACAACAAGGCCUGCCAUGCAGUGAGAGCUCAGUGAGUGUGUUGGAUGAAUGAAUACAUGAAUGAAUGAAUGGAAUUCUUUUGCUUGGAAAGCCAGCAGAGAACAGGUACUGUCACACAGACAAGAAAUAAAUCUACAACCUAGGUCCCUAUAAAGGAGAGUGAACCUGAGAAGGGAGGCUGAGGUAAAUGAAGAUGACUCAGGUCACUGGACAAUAGGGAUGGUGGGGUGGGGGCAGGAGAGGUCCAUGAGAAGUCAUAGGGACAAUGAAAACAGGAAGAGGGGCACAAAAUGCAAUCCACAUUCUCCGCAUUGUGUAGAAGGUCCAUGCUAAGUGGCAGCUGCAGUGCCCUCAGGCAGACUCAGGGACAGUGUUCAUUCCACCACUGCCCAGUUAGCACCUUACUGCUGCUGAGGCCCCACAGAUACCUUACAGCUAAUCACUGAGUGGCACUCCUAAGAAGCCACUGUCAUUUCUUCUUUGCCGUACCUUCCUCCCCGGGUCCAAGAGUUUUAUCCCUGCCUUAAUUCGUUCUUUAGGAAGACAUAUUUUCCCCUUUCCAUCCUCAAUAUCAGAACCAAGUGCAUUCAUCUGGGCAGUACCAUGUUUAAGAAGCUGACACACUCGAAAAAAUUACAGGGAUGAAAAUAAAAAGGGUGUUUGCUCAGCAUCCCUGUCUUCUAGGCAUUGCAUUCUCUGGAAACUUCUCCUUCUCCUCCCAUAUUGGAUGUGUCUGAAGGAGGCCCUUAGCUGGCUGGUCAGACUUCUCAUGAGGAUUUUCCAAACCUAAACUGGGUCAAAAGCACCAGUCCCCUGUGAUGUCAGAAGCUUGGGACUGUUGCUGCUGUGUUUUUCUCUUGUGCCUUUGAAUUAAGUCAAAUUAGAAACAGAAAGAAAAAGUGGAGAAAGGACAUCAAAUUCUGGAAGCAUCGGAGUCCUCAUUUUCAGUCACUUUGGAGGCCCAGUGAUGCCCUGUCCUGCCAUGAGUCUCAUUAUUCAACUCUUCCUUUGGUUAUUUUAAUAUGCUAGCAUUAUCCCAACCAAUGCCUCUCUUUUUCCUCAACCCAAUUCAGGUAUUGUUUCUGUCACUAACAACUAAAAAAGUCCUGUUCAAUACACACACAAGGACAAACCUAGAUUAAAUAACAAAGGACAAUAAAGUGGGAGUCAAUCAUUGGGAACUAGAUAUUCACGUUUUCAAAUGAUUCCAUGGAAAGGACGCUCCUCCUUCUCCCAAGCAGUCUUGAGAUGAGGGGGCAGGCAUCAUCCUAAACCUUCCUCUUGAGGUCCCAACAGGAGUCUCAGCAUGGAUUUCUACAAAGACAACCUUGGUAGGGAUCUUUUUAUCUCCACUCCCUUUAUCUUACUAAUCUCCCUUUCAGGAUAUAGUGCUAUCUAUCUAGUUUUUGGGCCACCUGCUUAGAAAAUCUGCAUUUUGGUGUGAUACCUACCUCUGUUUAGAAUGUCAUAUUUAUUAACUUAUGUUAUCUCAGUUGAAAUUUGGAAUUUAUCAUCCUAUCAUACUAUCAUUUCCUUAGGGCUAACUUUGUGAAGGAACUCUGUAAACAUUCAUAGGAGUUAAUGUAUUUAAACUUCACCAUAGGCCCCAUUUAGAGAUGAUGUAAUUUGCCCAAGGACAACUAGCUGGACAGUGGGUGAGCUAAAUUAUAUCCAAAUGCCUUGUCUUCAAAGUGUGAACUCUUAACUUCUCAACAUUUCUGCUAUACAAACUUGUACAUUCUAGAGGAGGGAUGAUGAACACAUCUGCACUUUGGAAAGAAUUACAGUGGUGAUGUGAAGACACAGUUGGAAAGCAGCAAAAGUAGGAGGGAAAGAAAUUGGCAUCUCGAAGUAACUUUAGAAGAACAGAAAUCAACUUGGCUGAAUUUCUUGGUUGAAAUCUGUAAGUAGCAAUGAGCACUGCUGGUGACAUUGUAGAAAUAUAAGAGAACUCAGUGACUAGACUAGAUGGGGUGGUUUUCAGAGACAGCAAGGCAGGUGCUAAAGGGUCAAGGUUUCAAAGUCUUAUCUCUAAGGGGAAGAUGGUGCCAAGGACAAGGGAAAGUUCCUUAAAGAUAUGAAAGGUCUCACCCACUGAAAAAGAUCAAGAAAGGCUUCAAGGAAAAAGAAGGGCAUGUGAUGUGGAUGCUGGAUAGAGCUAAGGUGAAUCAAAGCCUUGUAGGCAAGGAUAGGGAUGUGUUUAAAGACCAGUGAACAGCUUAUUUAAUUGGAAUGGAAAGCCUGAGCAGGGCAUGAUGGGUUACAAUAAGAUUGGAAAGGAGGGUCAUGGCCGCAUAGCUGAGGACUUUGAGUGCCAGGGUUAAGAGUGGGCAUAUUGCAUCCAGUAAGGUAUGUGAAUCUAUCAAAAGUUCUUGAAAAGAGUGGUGCAAGAGGUUAAAUUGAAGUGGGGAAGGAUUGUAAAUGUUGGUGACUCCAAAACUCUUGCCAGAGGCAAUAGGGGUUGGAUUACGGAGAUGCAGUAGUAAUAUAAGAAAGGAAAUGAAUGUGGGAAACACCACGGAGAUAAAGUGUUUAGAGUUUAACAAUUAAUUGGCUGUCAAGGUAAUGAUCUGGGGAUGGGGGAUAAAGUGAGGAGAAAAACAUAUUGGAAGUACCAAAAAAAAAAAAAAGCACAGGGAGAAGUGUUCAAAGGAGAUUCUAAGGGUUUCAGUCUGGGUAGAUCAUGGUAACUGUAACUGAAAUAGCUUAGUUAUACAGAUGACAAGAGUACAUUUGUGACAUACAUACAUGACAAUGAGACACACAUACACAUUUGCUCAUUUCAAUCUGUAGCUAAUAUCAUUUAUCUCCAUGUUAAAAAAAAGCAAAAAAAAUUAAAAAAAGAAGGGGAAGGAUAAAAAAUGAGAUUACUUCUUACAAUGGUAAGAGAUACUCGUUUUUAUUGGCACUAAUUAAGGAAGAAUAUUAUUGCAGUACUGUUAUAGUUCUGAGUAGUCAAAACUCUAGAAGCAGAUUCCUUUUCACUGCUUUUCUUCUUGUGCUAAAACCUACAGCAUGAGAAAAGCAACACAGAAAUCUGUGAAUUGUGGUCCUUCUAUGCAGCUAUUUUUAAUCUUUCAAAAAUGCCUAGACUUUAGUUUGAGGUGUAAACAUGUGAAAGUAUUUGAUAAGCCUUACUCUUUAUUUGCAUUUAAAGGAUUUUAAAGUGCAAAAAGACUUCUAGAAAAGCAAACGUACCAUAUUUGGACCUGAACAUCUAAUCUUCUCACCAAACCUGAUCCUCUUUCUGUAUUUCCUGUUUUAACUGUGACACCACCUUCCACCCCACUCACCUUUCAUCGUAACUUUAGUCAUCUUUGAAUUCUUCCAUUGGCAAUCCAUAGCUUGAUUUUGGUUCAGGGCUGGUUAAGCCAGAGGCUCAGUGAAGUUAUCGCAAGGUGCUGUCUCUCUAGCUCCGUCUUCUGAAGGUCAGUGUCAUUCUAAAGCUGAUUCCCAGGACAGCUGCCGGUAGUGCCCUCUGCCUUUAUUUUAUUCCACAACAGGGACACUUGGGUCACCUGUUCACCUCUGAACAUGACUGUGGCUGGGCUAGGGAAUGUGCUGAUUUAACAUUCUGGUGAAAAAGCCAAUUUAGACUCACCCCUAGAGUGAGGAGUGGUAUCAGUUUUCCCUGAAGUGUGGGCUGCAUGGGAAUGGAAGGAUAUGCAAGUAAAAAUCUAGAUUAGGAGUAGAGGGAUGCUGGGCAGCACCCACCAGUGUCACCACUGCUCCAAUUCCUAUACCUGACAGAGCACUUGGAUGCAAAUGAUAGGAAAUAUCUUUGGCUAAGUAGCAAAACAGUAACAUAUAGGGGAUGAGCAGGUGGCUCUUACAGAGUUAACAAGAAUCUUGAGAAACAGCUUCAGAAACUAGGUAGAAACCAAGAAGGUCUAAGAUGCAGAAGACCACAGCCAAAAUGAUACAGAAACCAGUGUAGCUAGGAUACCACCACUGGAACCCUCCCAAUGCUGUCCUCAUCACUGCUCCUGUGCUGCUAUAAGUGAUCACUAACUGUCCCUGUGACAUUGUGUCACACCCUCUAGAGUCAAAAGUUCGGGUGUGGUGUCUCAUUGGUCAAGCCCGAGUCACACACCCCAACCCCAACUGCCAGGAAGCCUGGCUAGGGUAAUCUUAAUCUUCAUGGCCUCUUUGUGGCAUGUAACAACCCCACCAUAGGCAAUGGGGAGUGAAUUUCCCCAGUAUAGAAAGUGCAUUAGAAUGCUGAGCAACUCAAAAAUAACAAAAGUCUGUUAUCAGCCUCCGACUCACUCUGCUUCCCUGCUGAUCCCACCUUCUUAUUCAGUACCACCAGAUUUGGCUUUGUGUGAACUAGUUCUGUGAAUUAUACCACUCCCCUGGUUCAAAUACCUUCACUGCUUUUCCAUUGCUGUUAGGCCAGACAUGGUGGCUCACGCUUAUAAUCCCAGCACUUUGGGAGGCCAAGGUGGGUGGAUCACUUGAGGCCAGGAGUUUGAGGCCAGUCUGGCCAAAGUGGUGAAGCCCAGUCUCUAAAAAACAUACAAAAAAAAUAGCCGGGUAUGGUGAUGCAUGCCUGUAAUACCAGCUACUCAGGAAGCUGAGGCAGGAGAAUUGCUUGAACCCAGGAGGUGGAGGUUGCAGUGAGCCAAGCUCAUGCCACUAGACUCCAGCCUGGGUGACAAAGCGAGACCCUGUCUCAAAAAAAAAAAAAAAAAAAAAAAAAGAAUUAAAGGGGGUUUCUUCAUAUGAUGAUAUCAACCCACUAUCAGUCCAUCCAUCCACCACCCACCCAUCCAAUGACUACUUAUUGAAUAUACUAUGUUCCCAGUAUCAACCUAGGCACAGGCCAUAGAAAGAUGACAAGUCACUAUUCCUUUAAAGAGGUCUUGGUAGAAAGAAAUGAAAAAUUAUAAUAUGAUGUGGUAUUAUGUAAUAUACUAUAAAUUAUAUUGUCAUAAAUGAUAUGAAUACAAAAUACAGUAGGAGCAUAGGAGAAGUAUUUAAGUUUGGUGCAGGAAGGAGAGUUAGAGAAGAUUUCUCUAAGGAAGCCACAUUUCGCUGGAUUUUGAGAGGUAAGUGGUUUUUUAGUUUUCUAAAUGGGCAGCCAAGCAGAGAGUGACUUUUAUAUAUAAACGGGGGCAUAGAAUGAGGUGUCAAAGUGUGAGAAACUAUGAGUAGCCCAAUAUUGUUGGGCUGCCCAAAGUGGAGUUAGGGAUCAGGGGUGGGAAGCUAUGGGGAAGCAGCUAGACUAUUAAACAGUGGCUUGACAUGAACAGCUUUGUGCGUUAUGGGUAGGAUUUUAAAUUUUCUUCCUAAUAGAAGAGAGAACCAGUAAAAGCUACGACAGUAGCUUCUUGACCAUCCCUGCAUUCAAUUUCACCCCUUUUAAAUCCAUUCUGCAAAUAAUAUGUGGCCGAGGGAUCUUUGUACUAAGUAAAUAUUAUCAUACUAUUGUCCGUGAAAAUAGAAUGCAAAGUUGGAACCAGGGCCUGUAUAUAUACAAAGGAGGGAAAUGUUAGAAUCCAAUAGGAAAAUAGGUUUCUGAGACUACACUGGGAAUUUAUUAGGCUACCUCAGUGGAAAGCCAUUCUCCUCCACUAAAAUAAUGUAUAUGACUUUCACAUACAUAAUGUACAUGAAUCCAUUACAGCUGCUGCCCCACUAGAUGGUAUAAAUAAUUUAUUUAUCCUUGUAUCCUCAGCCCUUAGCACAUUGCCUGCCAUAAAGCAACUAUUCAAGAUAAUGUCUGAUAAAUGAAUGAAAUAAUGCAUGAGUGAAUGAUAAGAUAAGCUAAUCACAUCUUUGCUUCCUUUCAUGGACAGAUUAUUUCUGAGAUCUUCUACCCUAGUUGCAGCUCCACUUGCUACUACUACUACCAAGACAGUCUUCGGUGCUUGCCAUAAAGUCUCCUACUCCACUAUCCAACUCCUUAAUUCCUCAAGCUUUGAGAAUUUUAGAGAUUUAUACUGGAAUUUAGGGACUUAGCCAUGAAGUCUUAGAUGUAUUUAUGCAUAUAAGAGAGAUAACUGAAAAUCCACCCAAGGUUUGUGCUCCCCCUGUAUAGUACAGAGUUGUUUCUGAAAAGUUGUUUCCCAAUCAGGGCCCAGCUCUGGUGUGAUCACGUGACUGAGUUCUGGCCAAUGGAGUGGGAGCAGAAAACAAUUCAUGCUACUUUCAGCCAUAAGAACUUCCUUUAGAACCUUCAUUUCUCCUCUUCAAGCUGACCUUGGGAGCGAAGUGUUGAAGAUGGCAGAGCCUCUAUCAUUCUAGAUCUUUGAAGGACUCCAUGGAGCACACUCCUAUUUCCUUCAACCCCCUCUUCUAUCACAUUGUGAUGGGGUAUUACAGGAGUGGGAAAUAAGUCUCUCUUCUGGUGUACAGUGGAAUUGUCUACAGGCUGGAUAACAUGUGAUGUCACAACAGAUUUAAUGAAGAAACAAAUAUAAAAAUCAAGUUCUUUCCAAAUUGAGCCAGACCUUAAAGACAAGUUGUGAAAUCCGUGAAAAUACAAAUCAAUGUUACUUUUUUCACUAUUUUUUGUUCUGGAAAAUAUAGUUGUCUUUCAUAAUAAUGUUAUUUGUGUUAACAUGCUCUUUUAAAGUAAAUGAACAAAUAUUUAUUUUAAAAACCUCUCAGUUGUAAAUCCUAAUAUGGUAAAUAUAAAUAUAAACAAAAGCUCUUUGGAGUCUUCAAUAAUUUUUACUUGUGUAAAGAUGG
rnacentral:lncRNA from 1 species